UACGAAGGGGGCUAGCGUUGUUCGGAAUCACUGGGCGUAAAGGGCGCGUAGGCGGCUUUAUAAGUCGGGGGUGAAAUCCUGGAGCUCAACUCCAGAACUGCCUUCGAUACUGAGAGUCUCGAGUCCGGGAGAGGUGAGUGGAACUGCGAGUGUAGAGGUGAAAUUCGUAGAUAUUCGCAAGAACACCAGUGGCGAAGGCGGGUCUCUGGGCCGAAACUGACGCUGAGGAGCGAAAGCGUGGGGAGCAAACAGG
rnacentral:rRNA from 1 species